ensembl:snRNA
GUGUUGUAUGAAAGGAGAGAAGGUUAGCACUCCCCUUGACAUAUAUAACGUUUGUCAAGAAGCAGGAAUUUACAAAGCCCUUUCAUAACAGAUUCAAGAAUCAUCUGAUUCUU